AACGAACGCUGGCGGCAUGCCUAACACAUGCAAGUCGAACGAAGGCUUCGGCCUUAGUGGCGCACGGGUGCGUAACGCGUGGGAAACUGCCCUUUGGUUCGGAAUAACAGCUGGAAACGGCUGCUAAUACCGGAUGAUGACGAAAGUCCAAAGAUUUAUCGCCAGAGGAUGAGCCCGCGUUGGAUUAGGUAGUUGGUGGGGUAAAGGCCUACCAAGGCGACGAUCCAUAGCUGGUCUGAGAGGAUGAUCAGCCACACUGGGACUGAGACACGGCCCAGACUCCGACGGGAGGCAGCAGUAGGGAAUAUUGGACAAUGGGCGCAAGCCUGAUCCAGCAAUGCCGCGUGAGUGAUGAAGGCCCUAGGGUUGUAAAGCUCUUUUACCCGGGAAGAUAAUGACGGUACCGGGAGAAUAAGCCCCGGCUAACUCCGUG
rnacentral:rRNA from 1 species